rnacentral:rRNA from 1 species
UACAGAGGGUGCAAGCGUUGUUCGGAAUUAUUGGGCGUAAAGCGCGUGUAGGCGGCUUUGCAAGUCGGGUGUGAAAGCCCUCAGCUUAACUGAGGAAGUGCGCCCGAAACUGCAGAGCUUGAGUUCCGGAGAGGAUGGCGGAAUUCCCCAAGUAGAGGUGAAAUUCGUAGAUAUGGGGAGGAACACCGGUGGCGAAGGCGGCCAUCUGGACGGAUACUGACGCUGAGACGCGAAAGCGUGGGUAGCAAACAGG